UGACAAUGCAGACAAGCGUGAAAGUGUAGAAAGAGGAGAGGUCGAGUAGAGUUGUAGCAGUUACUCAUCAUGAUCAUUUUGUGUCUUACCAUCCUUGUUCUUCCCUUGUGUGGGUCAGUGCCAUUAGCUGGGUGGGUGUAGUCCCCUGAACAUCCACGUGGAUAUAACCCUGAUUCCAGCCUUACAUGGGAAGAGUGUGCCCCAAAAGGACACAGAAUCACCCUCACUCUCAUACACUUGGACCUGGAAGAAAGUUAUGAGUGUGAAAAUGAUGCCUUGAAGUAGGUGGCGGAAUAUGCACCAAAAGCUGGUUUGCCACCCGCCAUAAAACGUCAAAGAAGAAGAAGAAGCCUUAAGACCGGAGAACGAGAAGAGGUGCAUAAUUAAUAAUCAUCCUUUGGUCAGUGGUGAAUAAAGCACACCUGAUGGGGAUAAUGCUUCAUCACCGCUGUCUUUAAAACGCAGUGUGCACCUUUUCUCGGAGAGCCGGUUUCAAAUCUCCAUGUGUGCGCACACUGGCAUCCUCCCAGGACCAGGACCAGGACCAGGACCAGGACCAGGACCAGGACCAGGACCAGGACCAGGACCAGGACCAGGACCAGGACCAGGACCAGGACCAGGACCACAGCUGGGAGGGAUCGGACGAGUGGCCGCGCUGCCGGACCCGUUCUUCGGACCCCCGGACGUUGUAAUGAGUCGCCGGGGGUGAACUGCUCACGUUGCCGCCGACGGGCUAGAUGCCGGGCCGCCUUCCCCUCACGCUUGCCACGGGUCUGGGAAGACAGGCCGCCAGUGACGCUUUGGAGUUUGGAGGGGAGCGUGAGCGGCCGGCUGACCCAGCCCGUGCUUGGGCUUUCCUAUGAACACUACCUGGCCCUUUCACGGAUCCCCGUUCACCGCGAGGAUGCCAGAUUCCCCCUUUUAUGAACACUAUUACCCCUUGGACACUUUAUUACCCCUUUUGGACAUCUUUACGUUUAUUAUUUCCAAUAAAUGCCUCUCCGAGGCUUGACGCCACA